ensembl:lncRNA
UAUGAAAAGAAAAACAGGCAGCUCCCAGCAGAGGAACAGCUUGGACAUCCCCUCUUGAUAUCUGAAAGAAAAAAAAAAAAAAAAAAAAAAAAAAAAGCCCUUUCCUUGUGAUCUGUCAGAGCUGUUUCCCCCUGGAGAAUUUUUGAGGAAGUCUGAGGUUGAUCGCAGAAGCAUUUACAAAUCACGAAACUCUGAAAGCUGCUGACGUGUUAUUUUUGGAAAAUAGUUCUGGCUGCUGUCUUUAGGCUACUGACACCACGGUGGCGAGUAGUCAUUUACAAGCUUUUUGAUUAGAUUUGAUGGGUGGACAAUGUACGGUCAUCCCCCUUCGAAAACCAGGUUCCUGGAAGGCACAUCAGGCUGGGCAUCCUAAAGCAAAAUCACCUCCAGAAAGCUUGGUGAGGACAAGUGUGUUUAAGGUGUCCUCAGCUUGCAGAAGUCCAUUGCAGACUGAUGUGCCCUAUUGCAUCUUCCUCCCCUUUCCUCUCCGUAUUGCUCCCUACACCAACGGGAAGCCCUGGAUCUCACUGAGCAAGGAGCACCAUCUGCUGUGUGUCUCAGAUGGUGCCUGUGUCGCUGGGACUAGGGACAUCUUGGACCACGGUUUGCAGAUCUGGAUGGACCCUCCAUUGCUUAACUUCCAGAUGGGGUCAUUCUGGCCGCCUGCUCCAGGAGUUCAGCCCUGCUCAUCAUAUGGGAGGCAUCCCAGCUGAAUCUGCUAUGGAGCUCCUGGCAUCCAGCUAACUAUCUGACUGUAUGUAUUUUGCCUCCAGAAGCCCUCUCAGGAAUGCUGAUGGAAAUGGCCAUUUGUAAAUGCAUACUGUUACAUUGUUUUGCCCUCAGGUAUGCUUCAGAUCUUCCAUUUUUAAGAUUGGAAAGACAUUUUACUGAUGUUUCGGUUCAACUGCUUUGAACAGAGACAUUCCAUAGGAGUCAGAAAUUAGGACCUGAAAACAUGAGACCUUAUGCUAACAGCAUUUUAGGGGCUUAAAUAUAUUCAGUCUCUUUGCUUACACUUCUUCUGUAUGGUGACACUUGGUCCUUCAUUCUGCUUUAGCUUUUAAAACAAAGACCUGCUCCCUGAGGGCUGAGAACUCCACACUUGUUGUCUGAGGGCAGACAACAAGAUUGAGACGGCAACAGCAAAACGUCAUCAUGCUACAAGGACUGUGAACUGCCAGAUAUGUAGUUGUUCUCAGUGGAACAGCAACUUCAUUGGGGGUGUCCUAGGAUGGAGCUCAGCUUGUCUGGAGAUGAAGGACAAGGAAAAACUAGAUAAGGGAGCCUGCUCAUCUGCAUUCCUAUGAAAUCCAUAAGAACCCCUUUGCCCUAGUAGGAUAUCAGGCUCUCCAACACCUCAGCUCAGACAGCCUCCCCCUAUCCUUCAGCCCAAGGCUCUGCAUAUGAGCUGUCGUCAGCAAAACUGUUAAUAACAACGAUGAUGCAUGUAAGAUGGAAAGGGGAAGCACUGUUUCUUGAGUGGGAGGUUAAGGAAACAGGUGACGCAUGGUGGGAGGAUGAGCACUGAGAAAUGGAGAAAUGAAAAAUAGAAAGUUUUCACUAGAGCUGUGACAAAUAUAGGCUCAUCUAAGUGUAAUGGAACAAGACGGCAAAGUGGGCAGACACAAUCUCGUGGCCUUUUGAAAGAGGAAGGAGUGACAUACAUACAUUUGAAGAUACUAAACUGACCUAUGUCCUGAGACUCUUAAGCUCUGGGGGUUCAUGCGGAGGUGAUUUUAAGAUGCUUCUUGUCCAAGUUGCCCAUUCGUUGCCACAGAUUAUUGCCGUGUCACUGUCUCAUCAGAAAUGGCAGUGUGCCCACGCUGUAGGCACCAGACUGAUAUAUUGACACAAGCUGAGGUGGCUGUAGCUAAUUCAGUUCACUAAGAGGAGGACUGUGGUGGCCAAGGGCUCUUGCUGAUCCCUGUCAGAUUUAGUGCAACAGGUCACCAGCUGAGGUCGGGAACCUCCUGAGCCAUCACAGCCUAACCAGACAAGUGCCAAGAUUUGCCAAGAGAGAACUAGAAGAGCCUGGACACCAUUUUAGCCAAUUUGCUUGGUUUUAGGUCUCCUUUCCUGUACUUUUCACAAACUCAUCUGUCACUCUUGCUUGCAGAAGGCAUUGUGGAAGGUUUACAAAAGCCCUGUAAGUUUGGGUUUGAUUCUGUUGUCUUUUGUUUUCAUGCUGAGUAGUGUAGGCAGGAUAUAACCCCUUGAUAUGAUUUGGAGAAGAGUACUAGUGCAGUGAAGGCCAGCAGCUCCUUCAGAGCUGGGCAGCAACCCCAGGCCAGCAGGGCCUGGCCCAGAAGCAGGGCCCAUCCCACCACCUUGUCCAUGAGUGGGACAAGGCCAAGAGGAUCUGGAGGCCAUCCCCGCUGCGACAUCACUGGGGAAGGAGCUGAUGGCCCCAGGGGUUGAAAUAUGGUCCAGGGGCAUGGGCAGGGUGUGGGGAGCUCCUUGGAGUGGUCAGGGGUAUUGGAGCUGGUGGUGCCCUCAAGGCAAUGGCAAUAGCGUUGACCUAGAUUGGCACUUUUGAUCAUCUCUGCUUGUAAGGAGAAUUACAGAGAAAAACCUGUUCCAGCAAACAGGUGAGUAGCAUAACUAAGCUGAAUCCACUGUAAACAACCUUGCUCAGUGCAAAUUCCCACUUAGAAGCCAAAAAGAUGCCAGCCCUGCAGUUGGUGGCAGCUCUGCUUCUGGAGAUUUGCUUUAGCUUUGACUGCAGCUAUCCCAGCAUGUGGUAGGAGGAGCUGCUGCUAAAUGGCAAGUAGUCCCACGAGAGUCAUGGCUAAUGGCUCCUGCUCAGUUAGAUAAUCAACCAUUUAAUAAAGGGUGAGCUUCCACCUCUUUACUUCCGUGG